UGCAGUCGAACGGGAUCUUCGGAUCUAGUGGCGGACGGGUGAGUAACGCGUGGGAACGUACCCUUUGGUUCGGAAUAGCCCUGGGAAACUGGGAGUAAUACCGGAUACGGUCGAGAGACGAAAGAUUUAUCGCCGAAGGAUCGGCCCGCGUUGGAUUAGGUAGUUGGUGGGGUAAUGGCCUACCAAGCCGACGAUCCAUAGCUGGUUUGAGAGGAUGAUCAGCCACACUGGGACUGAGACUCGGCCCAGACUCCUACGGGAGGCAGCAGUGGGGAAUCUUAGACAAUGGGGGAAACCCUGAUCUAGCCAUGCCGCGUGAGCGAUGAAGGCCUUAGGGUUGUAAAGCUCUAUCGUGGGGGAAGAUAAUGACAUGUACCCCAAGA
rnacentral:rRNA from 1 species